rnacentral:rRNA from 1 species
UACGGAAGGCAGCAGUGGGGAAUAUUGCACAAUGGGCGCAAGCCUGAUGCAGCCAUGCCGCGUGUAUGAAGAAGGCCUUCGGGUUGUAAAGUACUUUCAGUCGUGAGGAAGGUGUUAAGGUUAAUAACCUUAGCAAUUGACGUUAGCGACAGAAGAAGCACCGGCUAACUCCGUGCCAGCAGCCGCGGUAAUACGGAGGGUGCGAGCGUUAAUCGGAAUUACUGGGCGUAAAGGGCACGCAGGCGGUUAAUUAAGUUGGAUGUGAAAUCCCCGGGCUUAACCUGGGAAUGGCAUUCAAGACUGGUUAGCUAGAGUCUUGUAGAGGGGGUAGAAUUCCAUGUGUAGCGGUGAAAUGCGUAGAGAUGUGGAGGAAUACCGGUGGCGAAGGCGGCCCCUGGGACAAAGACUGACGCUCAUGUGCGAAAGCUGGGGAGCAAACAGGGAUUAGAUACC